GCCGGGGUGGCGGAACUGGUUUACGCGCAGCGUUCAGAACGCUGUGGAGGCAACUCCAUGCGGGUUCGACUCCCGCUCCCGGCA
rnacentral:tRNA from 1 species